rnacentral:hammerhead_ribozyme from 1 species
AUCCAGCUGACGAGUCCCGAAUAGGAUAAAACAUGAGUCCUGUAU